rnacentral:misc_RNA from 1 species
CAGAGAACAUCGCCCUCACGGGUGACUCUCCAACCCAAUGUUAUAUUAUACCUUUGUUGCUUUGGCGAGCCGUCUCGGCCACCGGCUCACGCUGGUGAGUGCUCGCCAGAGGACCCCAAACUCUGAAUUAAAGUAUUGUCUGAGUACUAUAUAAUAGUUA